UGGGGAAUUUUGGACAAUGGGCGAAAGCCUGAUCCAGCAAUGCCGCGUGUGUGAAGAAGGCCUUCGGGUUGUAAAGCACUUUUGUCCGGAAAGAAAUCCUUGGCUCUAAUACAGUCGGGGGAUGACGGUACCGGAAGAAUAAGCACCGGCUAACUACGUGCCAGCAGCCGCGGUAAUACGUAGGGUGCAAGCGUUAAUCGGAAUUACUGGGCGUAAAGCGUGCGCAGGCGGUUUGCUAAGACCGAUGUGAAAUCCCCGGGCUCAACCUGGGAACUGCAUUGGUGACUGGCAGGCUAGAGUAUGGCAGAGGGGGGUAGAAUUCCACGUGUAGCAGUGAAAUGCGUAGAGAUGUGGAGGAAUACCGAUGGCGAAGGCAGCCCCCCUGGGCCAAUACUGACGCUCAUGCACGAAAGCGUGGGGGAGCAAACAGGAUUAGAUACCCUGGUAGUCCACGCCCUAAACGAUGUCAACUAGUUGUUGGGGAUUCAUUUCCUUAGUAACGUAGCUAACGCGUGAAGUUGACCGCCUGGGGAGUACGGUCGCAAGAUUAAAACUCAAAUGAAUUGACGGGGUCAUAGCUGUUUCCU
rnacentral:rRNA from 1 species